ensembl:lncRNA
CUUUAGCUGUUUUUGAAGAUGGUGAGAGAUUCUGCGGUCCGGAUUGAGAUUGGAAGUGCAUUCCACCACUGAGGAACAGUUAGUGUGAAGGUUCUGGAAAGGGACCUUGCGCCACGCUGUGUUGGAACUGCUAAACGUCGGUCGCUAAUCGACUUGUCGAAAAGACUUCGAGUAAAGCAAACGCCUAAGAAAGCGAAUCAUUCCUAUUUGUUAAUUAGCUUGCCAACAUGUUUUUGUUCCAAGGAUGUGUAAUGAAGCCGUGCUGCUUACUUACCUGCGAGCGGAGGCAUCUUCUGCCACUUCAUACCAGUUCGUUUUUUUUUUUCUUUUUUUCUCCACCUUCCCUAAGACCAAAACGUCAGAUGCACGUUUGCCCAGUUACCUCUUCUACAUCAACUCUCUCUUUCUCUCACGUUCGUUUGUACAUUGCACUGGGGUAAACCAUGUCUUAACGGUACUGCACAGCUGGCACCUCAAACACGUUUACACCGCCUCGUUCCAAAUUGACAUAUCUUCGUCUGUACCACGUUGACGGAUCGUUACUCUAUUACUGAACAAUAAAUAUCAAACUCUAUCCGUUAUACCAUGUAAACGAUCUUAUUGCACAAUUACUGCAGGGCAAAACAAACAGGCCUCGUGAUUUCAGACUGUUUCACUAAAGAUGUAACCAAACUAACAUGGCGUACUUUUGUAUUAGGAGGUAGACAGACAAAAUAAAUCGAUGAAUAAAUUCUCCAGUCGACGUCAUUGCUUUCGUGGGAAGCAUGAAACAUGAAUCGGCUCUCGGCAUUCCUUAAUAUUUCUGUUAGUGAGCUAGGACUAGCAAGCAGGAUGAUCAUUUGUCAUAUCUUGGCUGUUGUUGUUGUUCUUCUUCUUCUUAUUAUUAUUAUUAUCUAAAAAUGAAAUAACCUGAAAGGACAUUUUAUGGCCUUCUGAAAAGGUGAGAGGGUUUUUACUUAAAACACCUCCGUUCCCUUCCUGUACAGGUGCCCUCGAGUGCCUUUAUUACAUUAUCUCCCACUAUACUUCCUGUCCCGCGUUAGGCCCUUCCCUCUCUCUCUCUCUCUCUCUCUCUCUCUCUCUCUCCCUCUCGAGAGAGGGAUCUGCCCUUCCCUCUCUCUCUCUCUCUCUCCCUCUCGAGAGAGGGAUCUGCCCUUCCCUCUCUCUCUCUCUCUCCCUCUCGAGAGAGGGAUCUGCCCUUCCCUCUCUCUCUCUCUCCCUCUCGAGAGAGGGAUCUGCCCUUCCCUCUCUCUCUCUCUCCCUCUCGAGAGAGGGAUCUGCCCUUCCCUCUCUCUCUCUCUCUCUCUCCCUCUCGAGAGAGGGAUCUGCCCUUCCCUCUCUCUCUCUCUCGAACCCUUUGCGUGUCACGUCCUUAAAGCAGAAGCACAGCCGUAAGUUGUUGGGCAAAAGUAAAAUCGGGUGUAAUAACGUGGUGUUAAUUGCGUGAUUGUCUGGUUUUUCUCUGGCUGUCCUUGGUUGACGUAGAUGUUUCUCUCUCUCACACACACACACACACACACACACACACACACACACACACACACACACCCGCUUUUAAAAUGGAAGCAUAAACAGCUUAAUGUUCAGGUUAAGGAGUUGCCUUAAUAGGUAUUCUUAGGUUUUGUUAAACACCCAUAACAAUAGUGUAUUUAUCAUAGUAAUUGCACAAGUUUAAAAAAAUAAAAAAAAGAACAGAAAAAAAUGUCUGUAAAGAAAACAAGAUUCUUCUAUUGUGGGGAAAAUGAGUUAUUUUGGUUUAGCGGUCAAUUCUGACUUGUGUGAGUAUGAUCAUUUUUAUUGGACAGACGUAUGUAGGGAUUAUUUUUGAAAUCUAUUGUUUAUGCACUUUCAGCAGUGAUACCAUUAGUAUUAAAGGUACACCAAGGAAAAGUUUUAGUCAGUUGGAUUAGUAUACCAAUAGAAUAGGAUAUAAUCUCCCAAGCCUUUCCCUUCUCACCUCUUCCCAUACGUUCUGCUAUUAUGUAGGACAGCCUCUUCGUUGAGGUUCAUCGAGUACGUUUCUUUUCACAAGCUGGGGCCGUUUUAUCAUCUCUUCAUUAACACAUUAAUACACCUGAUUCUGUUUCCACUCCAGAAGUAAACAACGUUUUUCAGGUGUUCAGAAUUCAAGCCUAGGCUUCGGCAGAUUAGGAACGAUCAAAGAACGCCUGCUAGCUGACCGCAUCGACUUUUACAAAACCACCGGAACACCAGCCGACCACUCCGUUCAAUAGCAAACGCCGUUUACUUAUGCAAGGACUAUUUUGUUGCUUUCCAUCGAACAUUGCUGGCAGCAGGAUUUACAAACAAACACGCAAACAAAAAACACGGUACACGCAUGCUGUGCGUCUGUAAAAAGCUGGGGUUUUUUUGUUUUAUUUUAUCUUAUCGAUGAACAAAUACACUUUCGUCGUGGCGUUUCCGGUAUCGCUGGGACAUGACGAAGUCGAAUAAUCCAAAAGUCAAACACUGUAACGGUUACACACAGGAAUCAUCCAUAAUAACACCACUAACCUUGUACCUUGUUGCUUGUACUAAUGUGGAGCAUUUCAUCUCAUGAUUCAGUGGACCAUUUAUAUUUUUCAUUCCGUAUGUGGACCAUGCUGAAGUAUAGUUAGUUUAGAUUAUUUUAGGAGUGAUGGGUGACCGAAGAAAAUGUCUUACCGGCGUAAUGUCGUGGUGCAAGAGCCCCACAUUCACGUCGUUAUAAUCAGAAUACCCAAAGAGACUGCAAAUGUGCAUUUUGCUAUGUGGAAGCCUUUUUACGUUUUUAAAUACAUAUCACUGUUGAUUUUGUUUACGGCUUACGGCAUUAUGUUGAACGUUCGUUUUGUUUUUUGUUUGUUUUUUGCAGACGGUUGGGUUUUAUUAGUCAUUCUUCAGUGCACUGUAAUUUGGGGUUUACAAUAUUGGAGACGUGAGAAUGCGGACUACGUUUAUGCAUAUAUGGGAACAUUUGAUUAGAAGUUCAUUCCAGCUGUACAUCUCAUUAACCUGAUAGUUUUUAGCUCAUCCAUAUUCACACUCGUGCAUUACAUUCCCUAUGACAUGUUAGUUUUAAGGUUGUUGUUGUUUUUUUUUGUUUGUUUGUUUUUUUUUUUUUUUUAUCCUUUAUACUCAGUCAUGAUUGUGGCCUUCUAGUAUUGUUGAUGCAUUUCAUUAUACAGUAACUUCCCUGGUAUUGUACACCUCCUUUGUCUACGUGUGGUGUGUGUGUGUGAGAGAGAGAGUGCGCUUGUGUGCAUCUUUUACCUCAUCUGCAGUCAACUCUUAAAUUGGAGUACUUUUGUUUACGCGUGCAAAAAAAAUAAAAAAAAAAAUUUAAAAAAGGAGGAAAAAAAAACUUCCACUAAAGAAACACAAGAUGCAUUGUAGCGAUUUGAGUAAUUACGAAACGUUCACCUGGUGUGCUGAACUAUGUGUAAAUUGUUUAUUACACGAUAUAAAUAUUUGUAAAAUUGUUUGUAUUUUUCAUAAUGGUUUUAAAAAGGAGUGUGUUUAUUUUUAUGAAUUCUUUCUGUUACAGAACUCUUGCUUUGUCUUUUUCGCCUGACAUUGUGAGUGAAUUGGUUGGUUCUCUUACCUCUCUCAUGUAUUUGAGCCUGUGCUGAGUUGUUUGUAUGCAGUGUUUAGAAAUACUGUAGGGAACGUGAGACAAAAUUGAUAUUAGGAGCAAUUGAUCAAUUUGUAUUUAUUUAUUUUAUCAUUUUGUUAAUAAAUUUACCAAGAAACUUGGUCUGCUACAUA